UGGCUCAGGAUGAACGCUAGCGACAGGCUUAACACAUGCAAGUCGAGGGGCAGCGGGGGUGAUGGCUUGCCAUCGCCUGCCGGCGACCGGCGCACGGGUGAGUAACACGUAUGCAACCUGCCCGCCACAGGGGGAUAAGCGGAAGAAAUUCCGUCUAAUACCGCGUGACGCGGCGCCGGGGCAUCCCGGUGCCGCCAAAGGGAUUACCGGUGGCGGAUGGGCAUGCGGCGCAUUAGCUAGUCGGCGGGGUAACGGCCCACCGAGGCGACGAUGCGUAGGGGUUCUGAGAGGAAGGUCCCCCACACUGGUACUGAGACACGGACCAGACUCCUACGGGAGGCAGCAGUGAGGAAUAUUGGUCAAUGCGCGCGAGCCUGAACCAGCCAAGUCGCGUGAGGGAUGACGGUCCUACUGAUUGUAAACCUCUUUUGCCGGGGAGCAAGCGUGCGUUCGUGAACGCGCGUCGAGAGUACCCGGAGAAAAAGCAUCGGCUAACUCCGUGCCAGCAGCCGCGGUAAUACGGAGGAUGCGAGCGUUAUCCGGAUUUAUUGGGUUUAAAGGGUGCGUAGGCGGGAUGCCAAGUCAGCGGUAAAAAUGCGGUGCUCAACGCCGUCGAGCCGUUGAAACUGGCGUUCUUGAGUGGGCGAGAAGUAUGCGGAAUGCGUGGUGUAGCGGUGAAAUGCAUAGAUAUCACGCAGAACUCCGAUUGCGAAGGCAGCAUACCGGCGCCCUACUGACGCUGAGGCACGAAAGCGUGGGUAUCGAACAGGAUUAGAUACCCUGGUAGUCCACGCAGUAAACGAUGAAUGCUAACUGUCCGGCUCGAAUGAGCGCUGGGCGGUACAGCGAAAGCGUAAGCAUUCCACCUGGGGAGUACGCCGGCAACGGUGAAACUCAAAGGAAUUGACGGGGGCCCGCACAAGCGGAGGAACAUGUGGUUUAAUUCGAUGAUACGCGAGGAACCUUACCCGGGCUCAAACGCAGGAUGACGGGUCCCGAAAGGGGUCUUUCUUCGGACAUUCUGCGAGGUGCUGCAUGGUUGUCGUCAGCUCGUGCCGUGAGGUGUCGGCUUAAGUGCCAUAACGAGCGCAACCCCUGUCCACAGUUGCCAGCAGGUAAAGCUGGGGACUCUGUGGAGACUGCCGGCGCAAGCUGCGAGGAAGGCGGGGAUGACGUCAAAUCAGCACGGCCCUUACGUCCGGGGCGACACACGUGUUACAAUGGCAGGUACAGCGGGAUGCCACGGGGCGACCCGGCGCUGAACCCGAAAACCUGUCUCAGUUCGGAUUGGAGUCUGCAACCCGACUCCAUGAAGCUGGAUUCGCUAGUAAUCGCGCAUCAGCCACGGCGCGGUGAAUACGUUCCCGGGCCUUGUACACACCGCCCGUCAAGCCAUGGAAGCCGGGGGUACCUGAGUGCGUGACCGCGAGGAGCGCCCUAGGGUAAAACCGGUGACUGGGGCUAAGUCGUAACAAGGUAGCCGU
rnacentral:rRNA from 1 species